rnacentral:tRNA from 1 species
AAAAAGAUAAGCUAAUUUAAGCUAAUGGGUUCAUACCCCAUCCAUGAAUAAAAUUCUCUUUUUA